rnacentral:rRNA from 1 species
UACGGAGGAUCCGAGCGUUAUCCGGAUUUAUUGGGUUUAAAGGGAGCGUAGGUGGAUUGUUAAGUCAGUUGUGAAAGUUUGCGGCUCAACCGUAAAAUUGCAGUUGAAACUGGUUGACUUGAGUAUAUUUGAGGUAGGCGGAAUGCGUGGUGUAGCGGUGAAAUGCAUAGAUAUCACGCAGAACUCCGAUUGCGAAGGCAGCUCACUAGACUGCAACUGACACUGAUGCUCGAAAGUGUGGGUAUCAA